GACGAACGCUGGCGGCGUGCUUAACACAUGCAAGUCGAACGGAAAGGCCCCUUUUGGGGUACUCGUGUUGCGGACGGGUGAGUAACAAGUGAGUAACCUGCCCUUGUCUUAGGCUUGACUUCAGGCAACUAGGGCUAAUACCGGAUAGGAAUUGUUUUUGCACGGUGGGUGUUGGAAAGCUUGGGCGGUUUUGGAUGGACUCGCGGCUUAUCAGCUUGUUGGUGGGGUAGUGGCUUACCAAGGCUUUGACGGGUAGCCGGCCUGAGAGGGCGACCGGCCACAUUGGGACUGAGAUACGGCCCAGACUCCUACGGGAGGCAGCAGUGGGGAAUAUUGCACAAUGGGCGGAAGCCUGAUGCAGCAACGCCGCGUGCGGGAUGACGGCCUUCGGGUUGUAAACCGCUUUCAGCAGGGGCGAAGCUUGUGGUGACGGUACCUGCAGAAGAAGCACCGGCUAACUACGUG
rnacentral:rRNA from 1 species